CGAAGGGGGCUAGCGUUGCUCGGAAUUACUGGGCGUAAAGGGCGCGUAGGCGGACAGUUUAGUCAGAGGUAAAAGCCCAGGGCUCAACCUUGGGACUGCCUUUGAUACUGACUGUCUUGAGUUCGGGAGAGGUGAGUGGAAUGCCGAGUGUAGAGGUGAAAUUCGUAGAUAUUCGGCGGAACACCAGUGGCGAAGGCGACUCACUGGCCCGGUACUGACGCUGAGGCGCGAAAGCGUGGGGAGCAAACAGGAUUAGAUACCCUGGUAGUCCACGCUGUAAACGAUGAGUGCUAGUUGUCGGCAUGCUUGCAUGUCGGUGACGCAGCUAACGCAUUAAGCACUCCGCCUGGGGAGUACGGUCGCAAGAUUA
rnacentral:rRNA from 1 species